GACGGAGGAUGCAAGUGUUAUCCGGAAUCACUGGGCGUAAAGCGUCUGUAGGUGGUUUAAAAGGUCUAUUGUUAAAAAUUGAAGCUUAACUUCAAAGAUGCAAUGGAAACUUUUAAACUUGAGUAUGGUAGGGGUAGAGGGAAUUUCCAGUGGAGCGGUGAAAUGCGUAGAUAUUGGAAAGACCACCAAUGGCGAAGGCACUCUACUGGGCCAUUACUGACACUGAGAGACGAAAGCUAGGGGAGCAAAUGGG
rnacentral:rRNA from 1 species